CGAAAAAUGGAUACUUUUCUGAUGACUGACUGACUGACGGUUAUCUGUUGUUCCUCAGUGUCAGGUUGGCCUUCGCUGGAGCACCAUGAUGAGGAAGCCGGUAUCUCACGCCCUCCUGCUGGUGCUCGCCCUCUUCGCCCCCUCCUUCGUGUAUGGGGCGGGAGAGCCGACCUUACCCGACAUCUGGCUGGUCGUCGAAGAUUCUUAUGACUCCAAUGUCAUGGUGACCUUUCCUGACCUGAGAGUCGGCGCAAGCAUGAAAUCGUCCCGGCGCUGU